rnacentral:rRNA from 1 species
GAAUUUUCCGCAAUGGGCGCAAGCCGACGGAGCAACGCCGCGUGAGGGAUGAAGGCCUUUGGGGCUGUAAACCUCUUUUCUCAAGGAAGAAGACCUGACGGUACUUGAGGAAUAAGCCACGGYUUAUUCCGUGCCAGCAGCCGCGGUAAUACGGGAGUGGCAAGCGUUAUCCGGAAUUAUUGGGCGUAAAGCGUCCGCAGGCGGCCGUUUAAGUCGUUGUUAAAUCGUGGAGCUCAACUCCAUCACGGCAAUGGAAACUGUUCGGCUUGAGUAUGGUAGGGGCACAGGGAAUUUCCGGUGUAGCGGUGAAAUGCGUACAUAUCGGGAAGAACACCAGUGGCAAAAGCGCUCUGCUGGGCCAUUACUGACGCUCAUGGACGAAAGCCAGGGGAGCGAAAGGGAUUAGAUACCCCUGUAGUCCUGGCCGUAAACGAUGAACACUASAUGUUGGGGGAAUCGACCCCUCCGGUGUCGGACCUAACGCGUUUAAGUGUUCCCGCCUGGGGGAGUACGMACGCAAGUUGUGAAACUCAAAGGAAUUGACGGGGGSCCNCMCAANCGGUGNAKUAUGUGGGNNAAUUUCGGAUGCAACGGCGAAGAACCUUACCAAGGCUUGACAUCCCUGGAAUCUUCCAAGAAAUUGGAGAGUGCCUUCGGGAACGCAGUGACAGGUGGUACAUGGCUGUCGUCAGCUCGUGUCGUGAGAUGUUGGGUUAAGUCCCGCAACGAGCGCAACCCACGUUUUUAGUUGCCAGCAUUCAGUUGGGCACUCUAGAAAGACUGCCGGUGACAAACCGGAGGAAGGUGUGGANGACGUCAAGUCAUCAUGCCCCUUACGCCUUGGGCUACACACGUACUACAAUGCUGCGGACAAAGAGUAGCGAUCUUGCGAAAGUUAGCUAAUCUCGUAAACCGUGGCUCAGUUCAGAUCGUAGGCUGCAACUCGCCUACGUGAAGGAGGAAUCGCUAGCAAUCGCAGGUCAGCAUACUGCGGUGAAUACGUUCCCGGGCCUUGUACACACCGCCCGUCACACCAUGGAAGUUGGCAUGCCCGAAGUCGUUACCC